GACAGAGGUGCCGAGCGUUAGGCGGAAUCACUGGGCUUAAAGCGUGUGUAGGCGGACGUCUAAGUACCUUGUGAAAUCCCACGGCUCACCCGUGGAACUGCUGGGUAUACUGGGCGGCUUGAGCCACCUAGGGGCCAGCGGAACAAAUGGUGGAGCGGUGAAAUGCGUAGAUAUCAUUUGGAACGCCAACGGUGAAAACAGCUGGCUGGGGGUGUGCUGACGCUGAGACACGAAAGCCAGGGGAGCGAACGGG
rnacentral:rRNA from 1 species